rnacentral:lncRNA from 1 species
GUUGGGCCACCUCAGGCUUCCAAUCCAGGAAAGAAGGUGGUUUGAAUGCCUGUAGAUCUGCCUGGGUGUGGAGCAAGGAAGUCCUUACUUCACCAUGAUCUAUGCACACAAAGGGUGGGGCAGUUCAGGCUGCUGAUCCAGUGUCUCCAAUCCUAUCCCCCUGUUAGCUCCAGUGCUUAUAAGAAGACCAAGUGCUUUCCCUUGGCCUGGGUUGCUCAGGUCUCCAGUGGAAAGAUAUUCUUUCAGAUACUGUGUACUGAUGAAACUGCUGACUCAGCUGGUCUGAAGGACCCCACUGGCACUGGCUGGUCUGAAGGACCCUGCUGAUCACAACUUGCCUGAAGGACCCUACUGACAUCAGCUGUUGUCCAAAGGACGCCACAAGAAACUGACUCACCAAAAAAUGCAUCCUGAUGAUUUCAUCCCCCUUAACCCGACCAAUCAACAACCCCAAAUCUACACAGCCCCUUUCCCUCCAUGAUUCCUACAAAACUCCAGCCCAGAACUCCUCAGGGAGAUGGAUUUGAAGGUCUCCUCCCUUCUACUUGCUUGAUGCCCUAUUAUUAUUAAACUCUUUGCUACAAACCCUGCUG